CCUUACUCAGCAACUCUGAUCUGUGAAACCAGCUGGCAAAGAACUAGGGGAAGGAUUGGUCUUUAGAGGAGCAAUGUUUGAGUCAUCUAGUUUGAGCUUCAUAUGGAAUUGUGGGUACUAAAAAAAGUGCACAGAAGCAUAAAUACCUGUGAAGAAAUUGUAUGUCUGGGUUCAACAUUUGGGUUGAUGUUCCCUUAAGAGAAGUCAUCUAGCCAACAUAACUUUAGCAAAUAGCCUGGGGAAUUGGGGUGACUUUACCUCCAGCCAUAUGAUCCUGGAGACACUACUCAUCCCAUUGCUAUCACUCACGUGGCCCCAGAACCCUCUCUUGGUCUCCGUUUCUCCCUUCCUCAUCACAUCGAGGCUUCCAUCUCUGAGGACAGCAAUGCAACCCUCCCAGCCUCUGCCAGUCCCUCUGUUCCUCCUUCAGGUGUAUGGCUCUAUGUAUCACAUCAACCAUGGGAACCCCUUCAACAUGGAGGUGCUGGUAGAGUCCUGGCCUGAGUACCACACAGUCAUUGUCCGGCCUCAGAAACAGGUAGGCACACAAAGAUGGUUGGGGACGGUCAGCUCCAUACAGCCCAAGGGUAAAAGAAAAUCUGGGUUAUUGUAAGGACACUCAGUAGUUGGCCGCUCAGAUGAGCUCCACAUGCUCACACUGUCUGUAAAAAGCAUAGGACACAUCAGGGUAAGGGCAGGUGAGCCGGGAAGAAAGGAGGCAGGAGGGAGGGGAGGGGAAGGAAGGAGGAACAGGAGAGGGAGACCGAGGGGAGGAAGACAAAGCUGGUGAUAGCAGAUUGAAGAACAAACAGAGGUGGCAGCAGUCAGCCGCAGGAGCUGAAAGAAGUCUAAUGGGAUACCAGAAUAGUCACUUAAAAACAAAAGCCCAGAAAUCCAUUAGUAAAAACUGUCUCACCAGAACCAGGGAGGGGAUUCAUUAUUGCUGCGUGCCAACUACGUGGAAGCACUUCCCCUGUUACUGAAGGUCAUUCUCAGACACAACCUUACAAAGUGAGCAUUGGUAU